AUCGGGUUCCAAAACCGGGAUCGAUCGAUCGAAACUGGGGAGUUCUUAAGUUCUAGCCUCAGAGGAGAAAGAAAUCAAGAAACUGUACUUGAAAGUCGAAACAAGUAAGGGGUCAUUAGGAGGAAGAAACUUUACUUGAAAUAUCGCACCUUGAGUAUUACAUACCUUUUCUUGGCAACGUUUCGUGAGAAGGUGUUUUCAGAGAAGGCUUCAAAUUGCUCUUCCUUCGACCCAUUUAGAAACGAAGGCUUCACAGGUUUUCAGUUGCGCCAUACGCUUCCUCCAACUGUGCAAAAGGGAGGACGGGGGUUUGGGGUUGAAGUUAGAGAUUAAUAAUUUGAUUGUUCUUCUAAAAUGGGUCGAAGUAAGAAGACUAGAAAGUUGCAGAAACGGGUGGAAGAAAAAGAGAGUGCAAAAAGAAGAAUUCUGGUAGAAGAGCAAAGGCCAUGGUCUGACCUACCAACAGAGCUCCUCAUGCUCGUUGAAUCCAGUCUCAGCCUGGAAGACAGCAUUCGUUUUUCAUGUGUAUGUAAGAACUGGCAUUCCCUGCAUCGUUCACAUCGGGUGGUCAACCAGUCCCCAUUGCUUUUGUUCCCCCAACUUGACGAUGGCUUAUGUGAGUUUUUUGACCCUUCACAGCGGAAGUCUUAUUUUAGACACAUCCCAGAGUUAGUCAAUGCAGUGAUUUGCUGCAGCAAAGAUGGUUGGCUUUUGCUGUCCAAAAUUGAUGGGAUUUCCUUACUAAAUCCCCUCACCAAGUCAAAAAUUGAUCUUCCUUAUUUUGAUCCUUAUCAAUUUGAUGAACUAGAAGUUACCUUAUCUUGUGGUCCGACAUCACCUGGCUGCAUGGUUUUUGCAAUUGGAGAUACCAAUCCAGAUGUUUCUAUAAGCAUUUGGCAUUACGGAGAUGCACAGUGGACAAACAUUAACUUCCAGAAUGACUUGCACUUCCCUGUUUGUGGUAGUACUCCAGUUUUCUGUGGGGGGUUAUUUUAUUGUUUGAAUAAUUUUAGUUUUAAUAUGGUAGGGGUUUUUGACCCAAAGGAAUAUACAUGGAGUAUCCUUACUGUACCUCAACCAAUUCAAUAUAUUCGUCGGAGAUAUCAGUGGAGAGCUGUAUAUAUGGCUGAAUGCAAGGGAGAGCUUUUAUUUGUACACAUACUUUAUCCUGCCAAGCCAACUAUAUUCAAGUUGGAUUUGAGUGAGAUGAGAUGGAUAGAAAUAAGGAGCUUGGAUGGUGAAACACUUUUUGUCAGCGGAGCAUGUUCUCUUUCAGAAUCUGAAAUCCCAAGAAUAUUAAGGAAUAGUGUCUAUCUUCCAAGGUUUCGUCGAUAUGGAAAUCGGUGCUACUUUUAUUCUCUUGAGUACUGUAGGUAUUAUCCUACUAUGCAGUGCCCUGAUUGGAAGAGGGACAAACUUUUCAGUGCUGUUUGGAUUCAACCACCUAAGGUGACUCAACCUUUAUUCGAAGAGCUCGACUGAGAUUAUGCUUGUUUUAGGAUAGAAGGCUUUGGCAAGUAGGUCAUCUUUGAUGGCAGGAUUGUACUAUAGAAUCAUAGAUAGCACAAUAGCAAUAAUGAUUGAGUUUUCCAUAUUGACUUGGAAGUGAUUGAAUCCCAUUGGGAACAUUGACAUGUCUUCCAUGUUCUGAGGGUUGGCGAUGAGAUGGUUAUAAGGGUUGGAGUUGAUGAAACCGUUAUGGAAUAUCAGUUGCAUGCAGGAUAGGAGUGAGACCUCUCGGCCACUAUUGAAGAGUAGGGUUUGGCAAUCUUUUCGUCAUUGCAGCAACCAUGGUGGCAGCGAAGAGACUCAUUAGAGCAUCAACAACCGGCUCCCGCUUCAUAAGAAAAUCAGAGAUAGGAGUACUACGCAUUGUUGUCAAAAUUUGGAGCGACGCUGAUCUGGGUACUGCUUGUGGCAAAUACUUUAGGGUCUGCUGCCCCAGUAUUACUAACCCAGGGAAUUCUGAUAUUAUCAACAAUAAUUACAGUAUGAUCCGACCGACCAUGACCCGAUGGAUUGAUUCGACUUGGAGGAGUACAUAUAUGUAUUAUUAUUUUAUUGAGCAAGUGUUGUGAGAUUUAUGGUUUUUUUCGAUUUAGAGUUUUUGGGCGAGAGUUUCUGGCUGCGAUUUCGGGUGUUCUUGAGAGAUCUCCAUUGUAAACAUUGUUUCAAUGUAGUGAAUCAUUUUCUUUUCCGCCCGAAAACGUAGCACCCGACAUUGGUGUGUGAACCUCGUUAAAUCUUUGUUUGUGUCAUACGUAAAUCUAUUUGUUUUUAUCGCCUUUCUUUGGUGUUUGUUCA